rnacentral:rRNA from 1 species
CACGUAGGGUGCGAGCGUUGUCCGGAAUUAUUGGGCGUAAAGAGCUCGUAGGCGGUGUGUCGCGUCGGCCGUGAAAACCUGCAGCUUAACUGUGGGCUUGCGGUCGAUACGGGCAUCACUGGAGUUCGGCAGGGGAGACUGGAAUUCCUGGUGUAGCGGUGAAAUGCGCAGAUAUCAGGAGGGAACACCGGUGGCGAAGGCGGGUCUCUGGGCCGAUAACUGACGC